rnacentral:rRNA from 1 species
AUUGAACGCUGGCGGCAGGCCUAACACAUGCAAGUCGAACGAGUGGCGGACGGGUGAGUAAUGUCUGGGAAACUGCCUGAUGCAGGGGGAUACCUACUGGAAACGGUAGCUAAUACCGCAUACCAUCAGCUGUGCCCAGAUGGGAUUAGCUAGUGGGUGGGGUAACGGCUCACCAAGGCGACGAUCCCUAGCUGGUCUGAGAGGAUGACCAGCCACACUGGAACGGAGACACGGUCCAGACGCCAAGGGAAGGAAGCAGUGGGGAAGAUGGCACAAUGGGCGCAAGCCUGAUGCAGCAAGGCCGGGUGGAGGAAGAAGGUGUUCGGGUGGUAAAGUACGUUCAGCGGGGAGGCGGUACCCGCAGAAGAAGCACCGGCUAACUCCGUGCCAGCAGCCGCGGUAAUAC